rnacentral:rRNA from 1 species
UACGGGGGGGGCAAGCGUUGUUCGGAAUUACUGGGCGUAAAGGGCUCGUAGGUGGCCAACUAAGUCAUACGUGAAAUCCCUCGGCUUAACCGGGGAACUGCGUCUGAUACUGGAUGGCUUGAGGUUGGGAGAGGGAUGCGGAAUUCCAGGUGUAGCGGUGAAAUGCGUAGAUAUCUGGAGGAACACCGGUGGCGAAGGCGGCAAUCCUGGACCAAUUCUGACACUGAGGAGCGAAAGCCAGGGGAGCAAACGGG